rnacentral:rRNA from 1 species
UACGAAGGGGCUAGCGUUGUUCGGAAUUACUGGGCGUAAAGCGCGCGCAGGCGGCCAUUCAAGUCAGGGGUGAAAGCCCAGAGCUCAACUCUGGAACUGCCCUUGAAACUGUAUGGCUUGAGUAUGAGAGAGGUGAGUGGAAUUCCAAGUGUAGAGGUGAAAUUCGAUAGAUAUUGGGAAGAACACGGUGGCGAAGGCGGCUCAC